CCAGGCCCAGCCGGACCCAGGAGCUCCUGUGACACAGCAGGACUCUGACACCAUCUUCUGACUCCCAUCAAAUAUUCCAAAGCGGUCGCUUCGUGUGUGCCCCUGCAUUGGGAGAGGAUCACAUUACAGAUGCCCAGAGACAUCCUCAAACAGAGCAACACAGAAAACGCUACAGGAUGCCAGCACUCUGCCUUGGUGUCCCACGCUCACGCAGGAGAUGUGAGCUGAGCUUAUGCCGUUCUUCUCACUGCUGUUGCCGUCUUCACUGGUGUCUUGCUAACCCAGGCACACAGUGGAGAGUGGAGGUGGGGGUUUGGAGGGAGGGGGUUCACUUUCAACUUGAAUGCUUGUGGCAAGGCUUGAGCACACAAGUGGCUUCUGGAUUUGUGCAAUAUUUGAACUGGUGAUGAAGAGAGGAAGCAAAAGAAGCCAGUCUGAGCACAGGUGUUGUG
ensembl:lincRNA Gm14641 predicted gene 14641